GGUCCGGUAGCUCAGUCGGAUAGAGCACCUGCCUUCUAAGCAGGUGGUCGCGGGUUCGAUCCCCGCCCGGACUACCA
rnacentral:tRNA from 1 species